ACCAUUCACCAUUUGUAGCUAUAAUCAUAUCUAGAUCAAGGCAACCAAACCAUAAAAAAUAUAACAACACUAAGAGAAGGCUACCACUACAGCUACAAAAGUGCCUCUAAAUUAUGCAGUAAAAACAUGGCAGCUAGUCCCAACAUCCUGUACCACUGGAUCUACAUCAAACAUGCAAUUCCCUGACUUCUUUUCCUCUGCUGCAGCCCCAGAAACCUCCUACCCAUUCCUUGGCCCAUCUUGUUGGUACUUCAAUGCGUACAAGCCCCCAAACUGUCUACAACCGGGUUCUCUACACUACAUAAAACUAGCAUCCAGCGACACCCCAGUUCAAACUUCACUUCAAUAUUACCCACCUUUUCCACUUACCAACAUGAC
rnacentral:lncRNA from 1 species